AAGAAUCAAUACUAGUGCAGUGAAACUUUGCUGCAGUUUAGUGGUUAACAUUUAUGCUAGAUUGGGUGAUUUCUUAGAAGGAGCAAUAUCUGUAUAAACAACAUUUAUGGAUAGGCUUGAGACACCAAAUUUCAACAUUUAGAACGUGCAUAACUUCUUGAAUGUAUUUUGGAAAUUACUACGAAUCUAGGUACAAGCUCAUGAGUAGCUUCAUUACUGCAAUAUUCAGCAUUGUUUUUUCCUGAUUUUGGUACAGUGCACUUUUUGGUACUAACCCAGACCAUGGAAGCAAGGCUAAGAAAAAAGCAAGGAAAGAUAAUCCAAAAGUAUUCAGUUUUACAAAAAAAAUCAUGGAUUCUGAAUGGAAUGUUUCGAUUUUUGAAGACUU
rnacentral:lncRNA from 1 species